rnacentral:rRNA from 1 species
UACGUAGGUGGCAAGCGUUGUCCGGAUUUAUUGGGUUUAAAGGGUGCGUAGGCGGUCCCAUAAGUCAGUGCUGAAAUAUCCCGGCUUAACCGGGAGGGUGGCAUUGAUACUGCGGGACUUGAGUGGAGUUGAAGUGGGCGGAAUUGACGGUGUAGCGGUGAAAUGCUUAGAUAUCGUCAAGAACACCGAUAGUGAAGACAGCUCACUAAGCUCAAACUGACGCUGAGGCACGAAAGUGUGGGGAUCAAACAGG